rnacentral:rRNA from 1 species
ACGCUGGCGGCGUGCUUACACAUGCAAGUCGAACGGUGAAGAGGAGCUUGCUCCUUGGAUCAGUGGCGAACGGGUGAGUAACACGUGAGUAACCUGCCCCAAACUCUGGGAUAAGCACCGGAAACGGUGUCUAAUACCGGAUACGAGCUUCAGCCGCAUGGCUAGGAGUUGGAAAGAAUUUCGGUUUGGGAUGGACUCGCGGCCUAUCAGCUAGUUGGUGAGGUAAUGGCUCACCAAGGCGACGACGGGUAGCCGGCCUGAGAGGGUGACCGGCCACACUGGGACUGAGACACGGCCCAGACUCCUACGGGAGGCAGCAGUGGGGAAUAUUGCACAAUGGGCGCAAGCCUGAUGCAGCAACGCCGCGUGAGGGACGACGGCCUUCGGGUUGUAAACCUCUUUUAGUAGGGAAGAAGCGAAAGUGACGGUACCUGCAGAAAAAGCACCGGCUAACUACGUGCCAGCAGCCGCGGUAAUACGUAGGGUGCAAGCGUUGUCCGGAAUUAUUGGGCGUAAAGAGCUCGUAGGCGGUUUGUCGCGUCUGCUGUGAAAACCCGAGGCUCAACCUCGGGCCUGCAGUGGGUACGGGCAGACUAGAGUGCGGUAGGGGAGAUUGGAAUUCCUGGUGUAGCGGUGGAAUGCGCAGAUAUCAGGAGGAACACCAAUGGCGAGGGCAGAUCUCUGGGCCGUAACUGACGCUGAGGAGCGAAAGCAUGGGGAGCGAAAC